rnacentral:rRNA from 1 species
UACGGAGGGGGCUAGCGUUGUUCGGAAUUACUGGGCGUAAAGCGCACGUAGGCGGAUCAGUUAGUCGGGGGUGAAAUCCCGGGGCUCAACCCCGGAACUGCCUUCGAUACUGCUGGUCUGGAGGUCGAGAGAGGCGAGUGGAAUUCCGAGUGUAGAGGUGAAAUUCGUAGAUAUUCGGAGGAACACCAGUGGCGAAGGCGGCUCGCUGGCUCGAUACUGACGCUGAGGUGCGAAAGCGUGGGGAGCAAACAGGAUUAGAAACCCCAGUAGUCC